GAUGAACGCUGGCGGCGUGCCUAAUACAUGCAAGUCGAGCGAACAGACGAGGAGCUUGCUCCUCUGACGUUAGCGGCGGACGGGUGAGUAACACGUGGAUAACCUACCUAUAAGACUGGGAUAACUUCGGGAAACCGGAGCUAAUACCGGAUAAUAUAUUGAACCGCAUGGUUCAAUAGUGAAAGACGGUUUUGCUGUCACUUAUAGAUGGAUCCGCGCCGCAUUAGCUAGUUGGUAAGGUAACGGCUUACCAAGGCAACGAUGCGUAGCCGACCUGAGAGGGUGAUCGGCCACACUGGAACUGAGACACGGUCCAGACUCCUACGGGAGGCAGCAGUAGGGAAUCUUCCGCAAAGGGCGAAAGCCUGACGGAGCAACGCCGCGUGAGUGAUGAAGGUCUUCGGAUCGUAAAACUCUGUUAUUAGGGAAGAACAAAUGUGUAUGUAACUAUGCACGUCUUGACGGUACCUAAUCAGAAAGCCACGGCUAACUACGUG
rnacentral:rRNA from 1 species